rnacentral:snRNA from 1 species
GUAUGUGAGGGCGAUCUGGCUGCGACAUCUGUCACCCCAUUGAUCGCCAGGGUUGAUUCGGCUGAUCUGGCUGGCUAGGCGGGUGUCCCCCUCCUCCCUCACCGAUCCAUGUGCGUCCCUCCCGAAGCUGCGCGCUCGGUCGAAGAGGACGACCUUCCCCCCCGAGGAGAGGACCGGUCUUCGGUCAAGGGUAUACGAGUAGCUGCGCUCCCCUGCUAGAACCUCCAAACAAGCUCUCAAAGUAAUUUCAUGUGAUUGUUUAAAUCUAAUAGUUAUUUAAUUUAUUUCAUGCAUUAUUCAUUUAUGCAUAUGUUAAU